rnacentral:lncRNA from 1 species
GAUGAACUUCAUGGAAAGUCCUGGUGGAGAAUGGCUUUAUCGAGCCGCUGUUGGCCUCAUUGGGUAUUUGGGCUGGUUUAAUGUGGCCGAGGGGACGACGCGGUGCAGGACUGCGCUCUAUCACGGAUCUUAAAAGGCCGUGACGCUGGUUCUCAUCUCUUCUCGCCUCACUGACGUCGCUCCUUUCGCCUCCGUGCUGCCCUGCUUCAUCUUCACACACUUCAUCUGCUCUUGGCUGGUUUUAUUCUUCUUCGUUGGCGAUCCAAGACGGACUUCAUAGAAAGUCCUUGUGGAGAAUGGCUUUAUCGAGCCGCUUGUUAUUGCGGUGAUUCUUUAGUUAUAUGCUGAUUUGGUGAGUAAAUGUUUACUGUUAUUCAAACUGUUUUUGUGCCUUCUCUCAGUUUAGCACCAGGUUUCUGAUCUUGCUAGCUAGCUAGUGUUAGCCUAGCGUUGCUGCUGCCUCUCUGCUCAUGUUACUUAAAAUUAACUCCACAGUUUUAAAAAGUGAAAUUUUCUUUUGAUUGUUUGAAAUAGAAAAGUGAGCAGCUAUUAUUUAAGAGCCUAGAAAAAAGAAGAAGAUGCAGCUUGGGGGGCUUGUUUUCAGUCAAUAUAAAACUUAGUGUUUAUGAAGUGUUUAUUCCCCUGUAUUUCUUUUAAUGCUUUGUGGCAGCUUUUGAACAUCUGUGGCAUCUAUUAAUGUCAAAUCUACCCUAUAGCCAUAAGCAAACUACUUUUACAUUUAACAAACAUAUCUGUGUAAUUACAUUUUAAACAAUAAUAAUAACAACAGUAUUUGUUUUGUUAAAAAAAUGUGUUUAGACACAUUUUUGUGUUGUGAAAAUCCAAAGCCAUAAACCAGAUUAGUGGCCUGUUAAAUGGUUAAACUCUAGGUUGGCUUUAUAGCUUCUUCUAUAUUCUUCUAAACAAUGAAUUUAAAUCCCACAGUUGAAUCAUCAGAAACAUGUUGGGGUUGCCUAUGUCACAUAUAAACACUCCCAUAUGGUUUAUCUGGUAAUUGUGCUUAUUAGAAACUUUAUUUAUUGGAAGUUAGCUUUUAACAAGCAUGCAAUGAUUACAUUUAAAUUAGGUGGUCUUUUCUUUAAACACAUCUCUUUAGGCCUAAACUAACAGUGCUAAUGCCACACAUUCAGACACAGUAAUAGAUGUUUUUAAUACUAUAUGUGUUAGUCUAAUUUGGUUGUAUGAGGUCUACAUUCACCUUCUGUGUUGUAAGUUAUAACAGCUGCACAGCCAUUAAGGAUCAAAUCAGUUUCUAAAUAAUUUUCUGUUUUUUCUCCCUCUGCUUGCUUCUUACUGUCUUUGAGACUCGGGACCAGCACUCCCCACGUUACAUCAAAGCCUUACAAGUCUGUAAAAAGAAGCUGUUGGACAGAAAGUCAUCAACUGAAUGGUAACUAUUUUGGUUUUCCAAUAUAUUAAUAAUUGUCAGUGACAUUUAUAUUAAUCAGGCUGAGCUUUAAUUAUACUUUAGAUCAACCUGUUUUCCUUAUUGUUUCAUUUGUGCUUUGGUUUGGGGAAGUUGUUUCUUUAUUGAUCUUUUCCUGUCUUCUGUUAUUAG